GCGUGCAGGAGCGGUGGGGAAGCCACACACGAGAGAGCUGCAGGAGCCCCUUAUCGUAGCCAAAUCAGAGACGGACGACGGAGUGAGAGAGUAGAUGCAAAUCGUGGAACUGGCCAGGUCCUUGAUUGAUGGCGAGCUUAAUGGAGCCCUGAACCUAAAGCAAAGCAACUGCUGAAGAACUGAGUCGCACCUCUCCUGCCAGGCUGGUAGGGGGCUCUUUGUGGCCCACAAACUCUCCCCACUCAAAACCUUGAAUUGUCCGCCUUGUCCACAUACAAUCUUUUUUUCCACAAACCCCUCCUAUGCGCACUUUUCCUCCUGGACAAUCACAUUCAACCCAGACGUGGGUUACAUGAACUGUGGGUUGGGUUGGUACAUUGGAGUCAAUUUCCCAAGUGUUGGGAAUUUUGUGGACUCAUUGGCGCUUUGCAUUGACAUUCGAAUUGUAUAUCAAUGUUUCUGAGUCAUGUCCUGAAGUUGCAUAGUUAAUGAAUUAUUUUGAAUAUUCAUUAUUGAAUGGCCAUUUAUGAGUUACUGUUUGUUAUUCACUGUAAAUAUUUGCACUGUUGGCUGUCUUGUAUGUUUAAAGAAAUAUUCAAUAUAUGGUACCUGCAAA
ensembl:lncRNA